GCCGGGGCUGCCCCGGGCCCCGCUCCCCGCCGUCCGCCCGGGACCCCGGCGCGGCCCUGCCCGCCCCCCGGGCCUUUCCUGCUCUCCGAACCGUGCCUCUUGUGAGCCCCGGACCGGCUCUGGCCGCCUUGCCCUCCAGGCCCGAGGCAAGGAGGAGAAGCGAUGAGGUUGCGGAAGCUGCCGGUCAGGCUCAUCUCAGAAUCUCUGCAGCUUCUAAUCUGUAAUUAAUCGCUGGUGACAUUUUCCUGCGUUCAGUGGACAGAGGUUGCUGAGGCUCAGCGUGUUCCCGUCAGUCUGUCGCUUCUCUUCCACACUGGGCUGAAAUUCCUGUGUGUUCCACAUCAGUGGCAAGAUGACAGUUGGAUCUGCUGUGAUUUGUAGCCCUGAGCCAAGGAUCCUUGGCAAUUUCCGUCGCAUUUGUGUAGGAUGCAGCACAAACCGAGCAGCUUGGGAAAUAGCUUCUGUUUGCUGCAGCAAAAAUCACCAACUCAAUUUUAGCUGAAAAUGAAUUGUACUUUUCCUGCUCCUGCAGUGGCCAAGCAGUGUUAGACUGUGAUCUUUAGAAGCACAGGCCGGACUGAGGGUCUGGUGUUAAGCAAGGAUAAUCAUCUCAUCUCAUCUCAUGGAGCUGUGCUGUAGGUGGCUGUGGGAAGUUAGGGUGUUGUGAACAGGGCCAGUCCAGCCCUGAAGAACUAGCAAAUAACCAAGAUGCACCAGUUGUGGCAGAGGAGAGAGAAGAAUCCCUUCCUUUGUGUACCCUUGUGCCUGCUGGACAAAGCAGGGCACUAGUCAUGCCAUCAGCCAUUCCAGAGCGGUUGAGGAAACCCAGAACAAUUAGCCCCUCUGUGGCCUGUUAUCUGAGUUCAGCACUAUCCUUGCAGCCUUACCAGUUUCAAACAUCAGCGUUGGGUUUCGUUUGCUCUGAACCAGAAUUGCCCGGAAGCAGAUGGCAGAAGUUUGUAGCUUUCCAAAAAGACAACUAAGCCCUGUCUUGCAGGUCACAUGGGCUGAGGGGGAGUCCUGGCAAGGUCUCCAGACAAUUUGUGCCUUUUUAACUCCUUAGCAAUCACCUGGGUCCGAGGCCCUGGAAGCAGUGACUGAAGCCAGACAAACUGCUUGCUGCUGGUCAUUCAAAUGCUCCCGUCAUUUGCUGGUGGGCCAGAAAGCUCUGUGGUGUAGCCAGGUGCUGACUUGCACACUGCAGCCCUGGGGGAUUUCAGAGGGUUUGUAUCACCCCUCUCCGUGGCACAGUGGAUCACAAAGGCCCAAAUCACUGCAUUCCCAGUCUCACAGCAAAUCCCCUCCCUUACAGGUGCUUGGGCAGAGGCUCUGUGGCUGAGCUUACAUGGCACAGUUAGUGCACUAAAAUGCAGAAUAAAACCCAGAGAUGUGAAUUUAAACCUUCAUCUCUUCCCUUCUGAAUACAGACUUUCUUAGUAUUUGUCAGCUCUCCACAGUCCACUGAAGCUGUUAUGCCAAACUUCUCACUGGUGACUCUGCAGCUUUUGGGGAAGCCAGCCCUAGCUGAGAUACGAUAGGAAAAACAUUCUGAAAAAGGUAAAAAAUUGGAUUUUUAAAUAGGUAUAAUCCAAGCAGGCCAAUAGUAUGUUGCUUUUCAUGACUCAGUUCAUCUCACCAGGUUCAGAGAGGCGGGGAAGGAACUCGUAUUUCAUUAAUUAGCGCCGACUAAAAGGAGCAAAGCCCACAGCAAAGCUCUGUGCACAGCCUUGGCAGAACUCACCACACCAUCUCUCACAGACUGAGCACAGCCAGGCAAGGACACUCCAUAGCCUCUCUUCCGGGGCUGAUCACAUGGGUGACAUCUUCACUCAACAGCAGUGUUUAGGGACAUCACAGUGACAGCGGUGUCACUUGUUCUGCAGACAAGAUGCACCACUACCUGCAGUAUUCGCCAAGCGAGGGCAGCACAAAGGCAGCAGCUGGCUGGGGAUGGAUCAGGGAACACCGGAGAAACUGGGACACCCUCAGCCAGCCAGUCACACCCUUGUAAACCACUUUCAACAUCAAAGGCAUGGUUUGCCUCCUGCACUUUCAGACAGGGCAGUUCCAGGCACAGACCCACCCAGUCCAAUGUCACUGCCACCCUUCUGUCUGUAACACAGGCACCUUUCACCAGUGCUGCACAGGAAGCCUGUUUGGGCAGAUUUACAGACAGGACAGGGCAGGUGUACAAGAAAGGACUCUUUUCUUACCUGCCUGUUGAUAGGUAAAGUCCCCUUCUUGUCAGUGCUUACUGCAGUAAGGCCACAUUGCUUCAGGUCACUUACCGUGUAUUUUAUGAGUUUCCUGUAUUAAAAUGUCUAAAGUGAUUGAAACGGCAUAAAAUUAGUCUCAAUCCAUCCUUCUUUGGAAAGAGACUUAGCUAAGGAAUGGAGAAGUUCAGACAAUAAAAAAUGCCCCUAAUCUACUGGGCAGUUAAAGUAAUUGUGGGAAAGAACGUUCACAUGGAAGUCAGGACCUCAGCUGUCUUGCUCCAGGAGCUAGGACCACCACAAGCGACGCCAGCAUAACUCAGAACACUUUUUCUCUCUCAGUUUAUGAAUACUGUUUUUCUCACUCAGUUUAUGGCACUAAACACUACGCGCAAUAAGUGCACCUUUUUUUUUUUUUUUUUUUUUUUGUUAUCAGCUAGU